UGGGGGAUAUUGCACAAUGGGGGGAACCCGUGAUGCAGCGACGCCGCGUGGGUGAAGAAGCGCCUCGGCGCGUAAAGCCCUGUCAGCAGGGAAGAAAAUGACGGUACCUGAAGAAGAAGCCCCGGCUAACUACGUGCCAGCAGCCG
rnacentral:rRNA from 1 species